GUGACUUCUUCUUUUCCGAGAGUUGUUAGCCUGUUAAACAGAUAAUCCACUCUUAGUCACCAGAUAAUUGCUAGGAACCGAACGCACUCUUAGUUUAACAUUAAAGUCACGACCCAUAGAAUUAAUUUUUAUUGUUGUUAUCUCACUCCAUAGUCCCUAUCUUAGACCACAAGUUGAAUGGUCACAGAGGAUCCGAACUCAUGCACGCUUUCAGAUACCAUAAAUGCAAUGACAAGCUGCGAGAUGACAGCUAAAUGGAGGCAAAUGAUGGGAGUUUGGUCCGCCUGGAGUGGGCCAAUGCGGAAAACUCGAAAGCAACUCAUCGAAUUAGUCCUGUGAGCAGAAUCCGGCCUCGCAGGCAGUCUGAAUCCUUUCCGGGAAAAGAACCCAAUAUUGUUUUUAAAUAGAUAUGGCUCGGCUAGAUUUGUCUGUGAGCAAGUCUUACAGUGUUUCAACUCCUGAUCCCUAAGGCUAUGCAUGCAACUCGUCGAACAUACAAAGUUUUGGCAUAAGCUGGGGGGAUUGAAAAAUUCUUUGGAUAUGGGUGAGCCGCGAGCACUCAUGAUUCUGCUUAAUUAUUGCCGGUUUGCUUGCAGAAAUCUCGGUUUGCAGGAUGAUCCCUUGGCUUUUGUUUCCUGCGGGUGUCAAUGUCGCUAGAUGAUUUCUUUCUUCUCUGUUUCCUGUUUACAUGGUGGAUGUUUUAUUUCAGCUAGCUUGUAGACAUUUACCUUAAUCAGCAACUUUGCUUUAUUUUUACAUCUCUGAUUGUACUUUGUUUUUAUUGAUCAAUUAAUGAAGAGCUGGUUGCUUUCUCAA